rnacentral:rRNA from 1 species
UACAGAGGUCCCAAGCGUUGUUCGGAUUCAUUGGGCGUAAAGGGUGCGUAGGCGGCGCGGUAAGUCGGGUGUGAAAGUCGGGGGCUCAACCCUCGAAUGCCGGUGGAUACUGUCGGGCUAGAGUGCGGAAGAGGCGAGUGGAAUUCCUGGUGUAGCGGUGAAAUGCGCAGAUAUCAGGAGGAACACCAAUUGCGAAGGCAGCUCGCUGGGACGUUACUGACGCUGAGACGCGAAAGCGUGGGGAGCAAACAGG